GCCUUUAGGUUCGGAAUAGCUCCUGGAAACGGGUGGUAAUGCCGAAUGUGCCCUUCGGGGGAAAGAUUUAUCGCCUUUAGAGCGGCCCGCGUCUGAUUAGCUAGUUGGUGAGGUAAUGGCUCACCAAGGCGACGAUCAGUAGCUGGUCUGAGAGGAUGACCAGCCACAUUGGGACUGAGACACGGCCCAAACUCCUACGGGAGGCAGCAGUGGGGAAUCUUGCGCAAUGGGCGAAAGCCUGACGCAGCCAUGCCGCGUGAAUGAUGAAGGUCUUAGGAUUGUAAAAUUCUUUCACCGGGGACGAUAAUGACGGUACCCGGAGAAGAAGCCCCGGCUAACUUCGUGCCAGCAGCCGCGGUAAUACGAAGGGGGCUAGCGUUGCUCGGAAUUACUGGGCGUAAAGGGCGCGUAGGCGGAUCGUUAAGUCAGAGGUGAAAUCCCGGAGCUCAACUUCGGAACUGCCUUUGAUACUGGCGAUCUUGAGUGUGAGAGAGGUAUGUGGAACUCCGAGUGUAGAGGUGAAAUUCGUAGAUAUUCGGAAGAACACCAGUGGCGAAGGCGACAUACUGGCUCAUUACUGACGCUGAGGCGCGAAAGCGUGGGGAGCAAAC
rnacentral:rRNA from 1 species